GAUGAACGCUGGCGGCGUGCCUAAUACAUGCAAGUCGAGCGAACGGACGAGAAGCUUGCUUCUCUGAUGUUAGCGGCGGACGGGUGAGUAACACAUGGAUAACCUACCUAUAAGACUGGGAUAACUUCGGGAAACCGGAGCUAAUACCGGAUAAUAUUUUGAACCGCAUGGUUCAAAAGUGAAAGACGGUCUUGCUGUCACUUAUAGAUGGAUCCGCGCUGCAUUAGCUAGUUGGUAAGGUAACGGCUUACCAAGGCAACGAUGCAUAGCCGACCUGAGAGGGUGAUCGGCCACACUGGAACUGAGACACGGUCCAGACUCCUACGGGAGGCAGCAGUAGGGAAUCUUCCGCAAUGGGCGAAAGCCUGACGGAGCAACGCCGCGUGAGUGAUGAAGGUCUUCGGAUCGUAAAACUCUGUUAUUAGGGAAGAACAUAUGUGUAAGUAACUGUGCACAUCUUGACGGUACCUAAUCAGAAAGCCACGGCUAACUACGUGCCAGCAGCCGCGGUAAUACGUAGGUGGCAAGCGUUAUCCGGAAUUAUUGGGCGUAAAGCGCGCGUAGGCGGUUUUUUAAGUCUGAUGUGAAAGCCCACGGCUCAACCGUGGAGGGUCAUUGGAAACUGGAAAACUUGAGUGCAGAAGAGGAAAGUGGAAUUCCAUGUGUAGCGGUGAAAUGCGCAGAGAUAUGGAGGAACACCAGUGGCGAAGGCGACUUUCUGGUCUGUAACUGACGCUGAUGUGCGAAAGCGUGGGGAUCAAACAGGAUUAGAUACCCUGGUAGUCCACGCCGUAAACGAUGAGUGCUAAGUGUUAGGGGGUUUCCGCCCCUUAGUGCUGCAGCUAACGCAUUAAGCACUCCGCCUGGGGAGUACGACCGCAAGGUUGAAACUCAAAGGAAUUGACGGGGACCCGCACAAGCGGUGGAGCAUGUGGUUUAAUUCGAAGCAACGCGAAGAACCUUACCAAAUCUUGACAUCCUUUGACAACUCUAGAGAUAGAGCCUUCCCCUUCGGGGGACAAAGUGACAGGUGGUGCAUGGUUGUCGUCAGCUCGUGUCGUGAGAUGUUGGGUUAAGUCCCGCAACGAGCGCAACCCUUAAGCUUAGUUGCCAUCAUUAAGUUAGGCACUCUAAGUUGACUGCCGGUGACAAACCGGAGGAAGGUGGGGAUGACGUCAAAUCAUCAUGCCCCUUAUGAUUUGGGCUACACACGUGCUACAAUGGACAAUACAAAGGGCAGCGAAACCGCGAGGUCAAGCAAAUCCCAUAAAGUUGUUCUCAGUUCGGAUUGUAGUCUGCAACUCGACUACAUGAAGCUGGAAUCGCUAGUAAUCGUAGAUCAGCAUGCUACGGUGAAUACGUUCCCGGGUCU
rnacentral:rRNA from 1 species